GGAACUCAAAGGAGACUGCCAGUGAUAAACUGGAGGAAGGUGGGGAUGACGUCAAGUCAUCAUGGCCCUUACGACCAGGGCUACACACGUGCUACAAUGGCGCAUACAAAGAGAAGCGACCUCGCGAGAGCAAGCGGACCUCAUAAAGUGCGUCGUAGUCCGGAUUGGAGUCUGCAACUCGACUCCAUGAAGUCGGAAUCGCUAGUAAUCGUGGAUCAGAAUGCCACGGUGAAUACGUUCCCGGGCCUUGUACACACCGCCCGUCACACCAUGGGAGUGGGUUGCAAAAGAAGUAGGUAGCUUAACCUUCGGGAGGGCGCUUACCACUUUGUGAUUCAUGACUGGGGUGAAGUCGUAACAAGGUAACCGUAGGGGAACCUGCGGUUGGAUCACCUCCUU
rnacentral:rRNA from 1 species